rnacentral:lncRNA from 1 species
CAACUUCUUUGCAAGGUUGUGCUGUUUCUUUGACAAACCGUUCUGCCUGUUUUCCAAUCAAAGCUUCUUCUUUCUCUACAUUAUGUGUUUCAGAUUCAUCAAUUCUUUCAGUGGCAGCUUCUGUCUCUUCCCUGUUUUGUUUUUUGGGUUCUUCAAUUGGUGGUUCUUUAGGUUUCUCUUCAAUUAUUGGUUCUUCAAGUUUCUCUUUACCUGCUAGUUCUUCAGGUAUCUCAUUAACUGUUGGUUCUUCAAAGUUCUCAACUGCUGAUUCCUCAGGUUUCUCCUCAACUGAUGGUUCUUCAUGUUUUUCAUCAACUGUAGCUUCUUCAGGUUUCACCUCAACUGUUGGUUCCUCAAGUUUUUGGUCAACUACUUGUUCUUCAGUUGCUAGUUCUUCAGGUUUCUUUUCAACUGCUAGCUCUUCACGUGUCUCUUUAACCACUGGUUCUUCAGGUGUUUCUUUCACCUCUGGUUCUUGAGAUUGCUCCUCAAUCACUGAUUCUUGGGGUUUCUCUUCACUUUUUGGUUUGGGUGUUACUUCAACUGCUGGUUCUUCAGGUUUUCCUUCAACUGCUAGUUCUUCAGGUUUUUCAUCAAUUGUUGGUUCUUCAAGUUUCUCUUGAACUGUUGGUUCUUUUGGUUUCUCUUGAACUUCUGGUUCUUGAGGUUUCUCUUCAAUCAUUGGUUGUUCAGGUGUUUCUUUCGCCACAGGUUCUUCUAGUGUCCCUUCAAUCACUGGUUCGUCGGAUUUCUCCUCAACCGCUGGUUCUUUGGGUUUCUCCUCAACUUUUGAUUCUUCAAGUUUCUCCCUAACAACUGGUUCUUCUGGUUUCUGUUCAACUGUCGGUUCCACUGGUUUCUCUUCAACUGCUGAAUCUUCAGGCGUUUCCUCAACUUCAAUGGUAUUGCAUGAAAUUUCUUGAGGUUUCUCGUCAACUAGUUGUUCAGGUGUCCCUUCAACUGCUGGUUUGUCAGGUUUCUCUGGUUCUUCGAGUUUCUCCUCAAUUUUUGGUUCUUCGGGUUUCUCCUCGAUGUCAAAUUCUUCCCGUUUCUCUUCAACUGUCGAUUCCUUGAGUUUCUCUUCAACUGCUGAAUCUUCGGGUUUUUCCUCAAUUUCAGCAAAAUCAUUGUUGGUAUUGCAUGAAAUUUCAUUGCCAGUCUUAUCAUUUGAGUCCACAACAUGCUUAUUCUGCUAGAAGAAAGUUUCACUUAAUUUUUCAAUAGAUAAGCAGAUGUGAAUUCAUUGCACAUACAUA